UACAGAGGUCUCAAGCGUUGUUCGGAUUCAUUGGGCGUAAAGGGUGCGUAGGUGGCGCGGUAAGUCGGGUGUGAAAUUUCGGAGCUUAACUCCGAAACUGCAUUCGAUACUGCCGUGCUUGAGGACUGGAGAGGAGACUGGAAUUUACGGUGUAGCAGUGAAAUGCGUAGAGAUCGACCAGAACACCCGGUGGCGAAGGCGGGGUCUCUGGACAGUUCCUGACGCUCAGGCACGAAAGCCAGGGGAGCAAACGGG
rnacentral:rRNA from 1 species